rnacentral:rRNA from 1 species
GACGAACGCUGGCGGCGUGCUUAACACAUGCAAGUCGAACGGAAAGGCCCUGCUUUUGUGGGGUGCUCGAGUGGCGAACGGGUGAGUAACACGUGAGUAACCUGCCCUUGACUUUGGGAUAACUUCAGGAAACUGGGGCUAAUACCGGAUAGGAGCUCCUGCUGCAUGGUGGGGGUUGGAAAGUUUCGGCGGUUGGGGAUGGACUCGCGGCUUAUCAGCUUGUUGGUGGGGUAGUGGCUUACCAAGGCUUUGACGGGUAGCCGGCCUGAGAGGGUGACCGGCCACAUUGGGACUGAGAUACGGCCCAGACUCCUACGGGAGGCAGCAGUGGGGAAUAUUGCACAAUGGGCGGAAGCUUGAUGCAGCAACGCCGCGUGCGGGAUGACGGCCUUCGGGUUGUAAACCGCUUUCGCCUGUGACGAAGCGUGAGUGACGGUAAUGGGUAAAGAAGCACCGGCUAACUACGUGCCAGCAGCCGCGGUGAUACGUAGGGUGCGAGCGUUGUCCGGAUUUAUUGGGCGUAAAGGGCUCGUAGGUGGUUGAUCGCGUCGGAAGUGUAAUCUUGGGGCUUAACCCUGAGCGUGCUUUCGAUACGGGUUGACUUGAGGAAGGUAGGGGAGAAUGGAAUUCCUGGUGGAGCGGUGGAAUGCGCAGAUAUCAGGAGGAACACCAGUGGCGAAGGCGGUUCUCUGGGCCUUUCCUGACGCUGAGGAGCGAAAGCGUGGGGAGCGAACAGGCUUAGAUACCCUGGUAGUCCACGCUGUAAACGGUGGGUACUAGGUGUGGGGUCCAUUCCACGGGUUCCGUGCCGUAGCUAACGCUUUAAGUACCCCGCCUGGGGAGUACGGCCGCAAGGCUAAAACUCAAAGGAAUUGACGGGGCCCCGCACAAGCGGCGGAGCAUGCGGAUUAAUUCGAUGCAACGCGUAGAACCUUACCUGGGUUUGACAUGGAUCGGGAGUGCUCAGAGAUGGGUGUGCCUCUUUUGGGGUCGGUUCACAGGUGGUGCAUGGCUGUCGUCAGCUCGUGUCGUGAGAUGUUGGGUUAAGUCCCGCAACGAGCGCAACCCUUGUUCACUGUUGCCAGCACGUUAUGGUGGGGACUCAGUGGAGACCGCCGGGGUCAACUCGGAGGAAGGUGGGGAUGACGUCAAGUCAUCAUGCCCCUUAUGUCCAGGGCUUCACGCAUGCUACAAUGGCUGGUACAGAGAGUGGCGAGCCUGUGAGGGUGAGCGAAUCUCGGAAAGCCGGUCUCAGUUCGGAUUGGGGUCUGCAACUCGACCUCAUGAAGUCGGAGUCGCUAGUAAUCGCAGAUCAGCAACGCUGCGGUGAAUACGUUCCCGGGGCU